AUCUCCUUCAUCACCAUGGCAACAGCCUUAUCUGCCGCCCUAGAGCCUUUUCCCUAUAACAGUGAAAUCAACAAUGACUGUGUCAGGAGAGAUCUUUAACUUAUUAUUUAUUACAAGAUAUUCUAAUGUUUAAAGAGCAAUCCAACAUAAAUGAAGAGAACAUAAGAAACAGCAUACACAAUACUGGACAUCACAGGACCCUCUCCGGCUGGAUACCAGGCUGUAGAACCACCAGAUGCUUCAGAUGAGAAAGGUUGGAUCUGUUUCACAGGGAAGGGGCUAAACUGUUUCAAGAGGCGACCACGCGCUGGGCACUCUGUACUUUGCAACCUACCAAGUAUCAUCACAAGAGCUAUGAAAGUGAAGAGAGACAUACGUUAUCUAAGAAUCUGAGAGAGAUGACUCAGUCAGCAUCCUCUCUCUUGGUGUACAAUGGUAGGGACAGCUACUGUGUCAUCUGGAGCAUGACAAUGAGAACACAGACACUGGAUCGUCCUGAUAUAGCCUGCAGUCCAUCUGGGCCUCUAGACAUUCAUUUGCAUUUGCAUUCAUGCGCAUCCCCUACUACUCCAACUCCUACACCUUUUGGCAGGAUAUAUCCACACAGCUGGAUUGGAAUCACAAGAUGUUUUUAUUUUUUGCCUCAUUAAACUAGUUUCUCUCAAGCAAAAAAAAAAAAA
rnacentral:lncRNA from 1 species